rnacentral:tRNA from 1 species
GGGCCUGUAGCUCAGCUGGUUAGAGCACACGCCUGAUAAGCGUGAGGUCAGCGGUUCAAGUCCGCUUGGGCCCA